rnacentral:lncRNA from 1 species
UAUUAUAAUAUAGGGUUAAUAAUAUAAAAGAUAAUAUAUUAAAUCAUAUUAUUUGAUUAGAUUAUAGCAAUAUUAUACUAUAAUAUAUCAUUAGAUUAGAUUCUAAUAUGUUAUAUUAUAUUAUAUAGCUAUAUUAUAUAUUAUAAUUCUAAUUAUAAUAAUACAAUAUUAGAGUAUAAUAAUAUUGUACUAUUAAUAAUACAUUACUAUAUCAUAUCAUAUCAUAUUAUGUUAUAUUAUUAUGCUAUAGUAUUCAAUAUUAUAUUAUGCUAUAUUAUAAUAAUAUUAUACAAUAAUAAUAAUAUUUUAAUAUAUAAUAA